rnacentral:rRNA from 1 species
AUUUAGGAAUGCAGCUCUAAAUAGGAGGUAAAUUUCUUCUAAAGCUAAAUACUAGCUAGAGACUGAUAGCGCAUAAGUAGAGUGAUUAAAAGAUAAAAAGCACUUUAGAAAGAGAGUUAAAUAGCACGUAAAAUUGUUAAAAGGGAAGCGCUUACAGCUAGACUUGCCUAUAGUUACUUAUCUAGGCUUUUACCUAGUACACUCUUCUAUAGGCAGGCCAGCAUUAGUUUAGGCAGUUAGAUAAAGGUCUCUAUUACGUACCUCUCUUUAGGGAGGCCUUAUAGGGGAGACGACAUGCAACCAGCCUAGACUAAGGUCCGCGCAUUUGCUAGGAUGCUGGCGUAAUAGCUAUAAGCGGCCUGUCUUAAAACACGGACUAAGGAGUCUAACAUCUAUGCAAGUGUUUAGGUGUUAAGCCUAAACGCGUAAUAAAAGUAAACGGAGGUAGGAACCCUUUAGGGCGCACUAUUAACUAAUCCUAAUAUCUUUAGAAGGAUUUAAGUAAGAGCAUAGCUGUUAGGACCUAAAAGAUAGUAAACUAUGCUUAAAUAGGGUAAAGCCAGAGGAAACUCUAGUAGAGGCUCGCAGCGGUUCUAACGUGCAAAUUGAUCAUUAAAUUUGGGCAUAGGGGCGAAAGACUAAUUAAACUAUCUAGUAGCUAGUUCCUGCUAAAGUUUCCCUUAGGAUAGCAGUAACGUAUUUAGUUUUAUAAGGUAAAGCAAAUAAUUAGAGGCCUAGGGGUUAAAACAACCUUUACCUAUUCUUAAACUUUAAAUAUAUAAGAAGUCCUUGUUACUUAAUUAAACGUGGACACUUAAAUGUACUAUUACUAGUAGGCUAUUUUUAGUAAGCAGAACUGGCAAUGUGGGAUAAACUAAACGCGGGGUUAAGGUGCUAGAAUGCACGCUUAUUAGACACUAUAAAAGGUGUUAGUUUAUCUAGAUAGCAGGAUAGUAGCUAUGGAAGUUAGAAUCCGCUAAGGAGUGUGUAAUAACUUACCUACUAAAUAAACUAGCCCUAAAAAUAGAUGGCGCUUAAGCGUGUUACCUAUACCCCGCUGCUAGGGCAAGAUUUAAGCCCUAGCGAGUAGGUAGGCGUGGAGGUCUAUAACGAAGCCUUAGGGGUAACCCUAGGUAGAACGGCCUCUAGUGCAGAUCUUAGUAGUAGUAGUAAAUACUUAAAUAAGAACUUUAAGGACUAAAGUAGGGAAAGGUUCCGUAUAAACAGCAGUUAGACACGGGUUAGUUAAUCCUAAGAGAUAGGGUAAUUCCGUUUUAAUGUUAGCGCUUACGCCACGCCCUUAAAAGGGAAGCUGGUUAAUAUUCUAGCACCUAGAUAUAGAUUCUCUGCGGCAACGCAACUAAGAGUAGAGACCUUGGCAGGAGCCCUAAGAAGAGUUCUCUUUUCUUCUUAACAGUCUGUUACCCUAAAAUCAGUUUGUCUAGAGCUAGGGUUUAAUAGCUAGAAGAGCGCUGUACUUUUAUAGCGUUUGGUACGCUCCUAAUAAGCCUUAAAAAUCCGCUUAAAGAAAUAGUUUUUACGCUAGGUUGUACUCAUAACUGUAGCAGGUCUCUAAGGUAAAAAGCCUCUAGUUAAUAGAAUAAUGUAGAUAAGGGAAGUUAGUAAAAUAGAUCUAUAACUUUAGGAAAAGGAUUAGCUCUAAGGGUUAGGUACGUUAGGCCUUAGGGAGAAGCUUCUGGCGCAGAAGGGCACUAACCGUAAGGUAGGCGCCUUUCAGCGCUAGGGUGCAGACACCCUUAGCAGGCUUUAGCUGUCUAGCGUACGUUUAACAACUAACUUAGAACUAGUAUAGACAAGGGGAAUCUAACUGUCUAAUUAAAAUAUAGCAUUGCGAUAGCUAGAAAGUAGUGUUAAUGUAAUGUAAUUUCUGCCUAGUGCUCUAAAUGUUAAAGCGAAGAGAUUUAACUAAGCGCGGGUAAACGGCGGGAGUAACUAUAACUCUCUUAAGGUAGCUAAAUGCCUUAUUAUCUAAUUAGUAACGCGCAUGAAUAGAUUAACGAGAUUCCUACUGUCCCUAUCUACUAUCUAGUAAAACCAC